AACGCACAUUGCGCCCCUUGGUAUUCCGAGGGCAUGCCCGUUCGAGCGUCAUCAACACCAUCAAGCCUGGCUUGGUAUUGGGCCCUGCCAGUAACACGGCCGGCUUUAAAAUCAGUGGCGGUGCCGCCUGGCUCUAAGCGUAGUAACUUUUCUCGCUAUUGUGCCCGGCGGUUGCCUGCCAACAACCCCCUAAUUCAAUCGGUUUGACCUCGGAUCGGGUAGGGAUACCCGCUGAACUUAA
rnacentral:misc_RNA from 1 species